rnacentral:rRNA from 1 species
UAGGGAAUCUUCGGCAAUGGACGAAAGUCUGACCGAGCAACGCCGCGUGAGUGAAGAAGGUUUUCGGAUCGUAAAACUCUGUUGUUAGAGAAGAACAAGGACGUUAGUAACUGAACGUCCCCUGACGGUAUCUAACCAGAAAGCCACGGCUAACUACGUGCCAGCAGCCGCGGUAAUACGUAGGUGGCAAGCGUUGUCCGGAUUUAUUGGGCGUAAAGCGAGCGCAGGCGGUUUCUUAAGUCUGAUGUGAAAGCCCCCGGCUCAACCGGGGAGGGUCAUUGGAAACUGGGAGACUUGAGUGCAGAAGAGGAGAGUGGAAUUCCAUGUGUAGCGGUGAAAUGCGUAUAUAUAUGGAGGAACACCAGUGGCGACGGCGGCUCUCUGGUCUGUAACUGACGCUGAGACUCGAAAGCGUAGGGAGCAAACAGG